rnacentral:pre_miRNA from 1 species
UAAGUACUCCCUCCGUCCGAAAAUACUUGCUGGAGAAAUGGAUGUAUCUAGACAUAUUUUAGUUCUAAAUACAUCCACUUUUAUCUUUUUUUAACAAGUAUUUUCGGAUGGAGGGAGUAUGUU